rnacentral:rRNA from 1 species
UGAGCAAUCUGCCCUUCACAUCGGAAUAACCAUUGGAAACGAUGGCUAAUGCCGAAUAUGACGUCGGACCGCAUGGUCUGACGUGGAAAGCUCCGGCGGAGAAGGAUGAGCUCGCGGCCUCUCAGCUUGUUGGUGAGGUAAUAGCUCACCAAGGCGAUGACGGGUAGCCGGCCUGAGAGGGCGACCGGUCACACUGGGACUGAGACACGGCCCAGACUCCG